GUUUUUUUAAAUUAAUAAAUAUUAAAUACAUUCAUAUUUGUAAAUAUAGGGAAUUAUAAAUAUAUUUCUAUAAAAUUUAUAUUUUUAUAUAUUAUCUCUGUAUUUUUUUAAAUAUUUUUCUCUACCUUGUUAUCGUUAUAGAACUGUUUUAUAUUUCAAGUAAAAUAUAAAUUUUACUAUCACAAAUAUGUCCUUACAAAAAUCACAACAGUAUAAAUAAGAAGGACAAAUAUGUCAAGUUAUCUCAUAAAUUAACUAGAGUUAAGUAUUUAACUUAUAGUUAAUUAAAGUUUUCUAAUAGAUUCCAACGGCAGGGACAUAUUUAAAAAUAUUAGGAUUUUUGUAGAAACAAUAUAUGAAAGUUGAACUUUAUAGGGACAUAUUUAUAAUUCAUAUAUUUGCAGGAACUUGUAUGAAAUUAACUCUUUUUUAUUUAUGUUUGUGGCUUUCUGGUCAUCGGAUUGUUUUAAAAUUUGUGCAGUACUAAUUUCAUUAGAUUUUUGUUGCUAAUGUGUAUGAAAUUUAGGUGAUCCGACGACGAACGCAUGUUGAGCAUCGGUGCUUUUAAAAAUAUAGUAGCUCAACUUUAAUAAAUAUUUAAAGUAAACUGUUAUUGUUAAAGUAAUAUUUUUAUAUUGUGU
rnacentral:lncRNA from 1 species